rnacentral:rRNA from 1 species
GAUGAACGCUGGCGGCGUGCCUAAUACAUGCAAGUCGAGCGAACAGACGAGGAGCUUGCUCCUCUGACGUUAGCGGCGGACGGGUGAGUAACACGUGGAUAACCUACCUAUAAGACUGGGAUAACUUCGGGAAACCGGAGCUAAUACCGGAUAAUAUAUUGAACCGCAUGGUUCAAUAGUGAAAGACGGUUUUGCUGUCACUUAUAGAUGGAUCCGCGCCGCAUUAGCUAGUUGGUAAGGUAACGGCUUACCAAGGCAACGAUGCGUAGCCGACCUGAGAGGGUGAUCGCCCACACUGGAGCUGGGACGCGGUCCAGACUCCUACGGGAGGCAGCAGUAGGGUAUCUUCCGCAAUGGGCGAAAGCCUGACGGAGCAACGCCGCGUGUGUGAUGAAGGUCUUCGGAUCGUAAAGCUCUGUUAUUGGGGAAGAACAAAUGUGUAAGUAACUAUGCACGUCUUGACGGUACCUAAUCAGAAAGCCACGGCUAACUACGUG